GGGGCAGUGUGAGAUGACGGGACCAGAGCACGUUCCUGGCUGCAGAGGCCACAAGUCACGCUGUCUCUGAGAGGACUUAGCACGUAUCCUAGAAAUUAACCUGCUGGUAUAUCCUGUUUCUUGUCUGUCUCUUUCCAGUGGAAUGUCACCAUCGCCCAGGUCCUCCCAGCAGCUCCUGCAAACAGACCCCCGACCCAAGCCCUUCCUUCUGCCUCCACUGCCACCACUGCUGCUCAUCUCUGCUGGCACAGAAGUCUCUUCCCUGGUCUUCCAGAAAUCCCCUCUCCACACUCAGCCAGAGGGAGCUAUUAAAACUGUGGGCCAGCCCACAUCAGUCCACAGCAAAGUCCUCUCUAAGGGAUCUCUGUUGCUUGGAGAAUAAACCCUCGGAUUCCUUCCUUG
rnacentral:lncRNA from 1 species